GACGAACGCUGGCGGCGUGCUUAACACAUGCAAGUCGAACGGAAGGGCCCUGCUUUUGUGGGGUGCUCGAGUGGCGAACGGGUGAGUAACACGUGAGUAACCUGCCCUUGACUUUGGGAUAACUUCAGGAAACUGGGGCUAAUACCGGAUAGGAGCUCCUGCUGCAUGGUGGGGGUUGGACAGUUUCGGCGGUUGGGGAUGGACUCGCGGCUUAUCAGCUUGUUGGUGGGGUAGUGGCUUACCAAGGCUUUGACGGGUAGCCGGCCUGAGAGGGUGACCGGCCACAUUGGGACUGAGGUACGGCCCAGACUCCUACGGGAGGCAGCAGGGGGGAAUAUUGCACAAUGGGCGGAAGCCUGAUGCAGCAACGCCGCGUGCGGGAUGACGGCCUUCGGGUUGUAAACCGCUUUCGCCUGUGACGAAGCGUGAGUGACGGUAAUGGGUAAAGAAGCACCGGCUAACUACGUG
rnacentral:rRNA from 1 species